rnacentral:rRNA from 1 species
GAAUUCGCCCUUAGAGUUUGAUCCUGGCUCAGGACGAACGCUGGCGGCGUGCCUAACACAUGCAAGUCGAGCGGGGACUUAUGGAACGCGAUUUCGGUCAAGUGAAGUAAGUUCUAGCGGCGGACGGGUGAGUAACGCGUGAGCAACCUGCCUCUCACUGGGGAAUAACGCAUCGAAAGGUGUGCUAAUACCGCAUGAGACCACAGAGUCACAUGGCUUAGGGGUCAAAGAUUAUAUCGGUGAGAGAUGGGCUCGCGUCUGAUUAGCUAGUUGGUGAGGUAACGGCCCACCAAGGCGACGAUCAGUAGCCGACCUGAGAGGGUGAUCGGCCACAUUGGAACUGAGAAACGGUCCAAACUCCUACGGGAGGCAGCAGUGGGGAAUAUUGGGCAAUGGGCGCAAGCCUGACCCAGCAACGCCGCGUGAAGGAAGAAGGUCUUCGGAUCGUAAACUUCUAUCCUUGGUGAAGAUAAUGACGGUAGCCAAGAAGGAAGCCCCGGCUAACUACGUGCCAGCAGCCGCGGUAAUACGUAGGGGGCAAGCGUUGUCCGGAAUGAUUGGGCGUAAAGGGCGCGUAGGCGGCCUGUUAAGUCUGAAGUGAAACUCCCGUUUUUAAGGUGGGAACUGCUUUGGAUACUGAUGGGCUUGAGUGCAGGAGAGGUAAGCGGAAUUCCCGGUGUAGCGGUGAAAUGCGUAGAGAUCGGGAGGAACACCAGUGGCGAAGGCGGCUUACUGGACUGUAACUGACGCUGAGGCGCGAAAGUGUGGGGAGCAAACAGGAUUAGAUACCCUGGUAGUCCACACUGUAAACGAUGAAU